UACGUAGGUGGCAAGCGUUGUCCGGAAUUAUUGGGCGUAAAGCGCGCGCAGGCGGUCUUUUAAGUCUGAUGUGAAAGCCCCCGGCUCAACCGGGGAGGGUCAUUGGAAACUGGGAGACUUGAGUACAGAAGAGAAGAGCGGAAUUCCACGUGUAGCGGUGAAAUGCGUAGAGAUGUGGAGGAACACCAGUGGCGAAGGCGCUGCUCUGGGCCGGUACUGACGCUGAGGAGCGAAAGCGUGGGGAGCGAACAGG
rnacentral:rRNA from 1 species